UACAGAGGUCUCAAGCGUUGUUCGGAUUCAUUGGGCGUAAAGGGUGCGUAGGUGGCGUCGUAAGUCGGGUGUGAAAUUUCGGAGCUUAACUCCGAAACUGCAUUCGAUACUGCGGUGCUUGAGGACUGGAGAGGAGACUGGAAUUUACGGUGUAGCAGUGAAAUGCGUAGAGAUCGUAAGGAAGACCAGUGGCGAAGGCGGGUCUCUGGACAGUUCCUGACACUGAGUCACGAAGGCCAGGGGAGCAAACGGG
rnacentral:rRNA from 1 species